AUUGAACGCUGGCGGCAGGCCUAACACAUGCAAGUCGAACGGUAACAGGAAGAAGCUUGCUUCUUUGCUGACGAGUGGCGGACGGGUGAGUAAUGUCUGGGAAACUGCCUGAUGGAGGGGGAUAACUGCUGGAAACGGUAGCUAAUACCGCAUAACGUCGCAAGACCAAAGAGGGGGACCUUCGGGCCUCUUGCCAUCGGAUGUGCCCAGAUGGGAUUAGCUAGUAGGUGGGGUAACGGCUCACCUAGGCGACGAUCCCUAGCUGGUCUGAGAGGAUGACCAGCCACACUGGAACUGAGACACGGUCCAGACUCCUAAGGGAGGCAGCAGUGGGGAAUAUUGCACAAUGGGCGCAAGCCUGAUGCAGCCAUGCCGCGUGUAUGAAGAAGGCCUUCGGGUUGUAAAGUACUUUCAGCGGGGAGGAAGGGAGUAAAGUUAAUACCUUUGCUCAUUGACGUUACCCGCAGAAGAAGCACCGGCUAACUCCGUG
rnacentral:rRNA from 1 species